rnacentral:rRNA from 1 species
CCUACGGGAGGCAGCAGUGAGGAAUAUUGGUCAAUGGACGCAAGUCUGAACCAGCCAUGCCGCGUGCAGGAAGACGGCUCUAUGAGUUGUAAACUGCUUUUGUACGAGGGUAAACUCAGAUACGCGUAUCUUUCUGAACGUAUCGUACGAAUAAGGAUCGGCUAACUCCGUGCCAGCAGCCGCGGUAAUACGGAGGAUUCAAGCGUUAUCCGGAUUUAUUGGGUUUAAAGGGUGCGUAGGCGGUCGGAUAAGUUAGAGGUGAAAUCCCGAGGCUCAACUUCGGAAUUGCCUCUGAUACUGUUCGGCUAGAGAGUAGUUGCGGUAGGCGGAAUGUAUGGUGUAGCGGUGAAAUGCUUAGAGAUCAUACAGAACACCGAUUGCGAAGGCAGCUUACCAAGCUACUUCUGACGUUGAGGCACGAAAGCGUGGGGAGCAAACAGGAUUAGAUACCCGAGUAGUC